rnacentral:rRNA from 1 species
GACGAACGCUGGCGGCGUGCCUAAUACAUGCAAGUAGAACGCACAGUUUAUACCGUAGCUUGCUACACCAUAGACUGUGAGUUGCGAACGGGUGAGUAACGCGUAGGUAACCUGCCUGGUAGCGGGGGAUAACUAUUGGAAACGAUAGCUAAUACCGCAUAAUAUUGAUUAUUGCAUGAUAAUUAAUUGAAAGGUGCAAUUGCACCACUACCAGAUGGACCUGCGUUGUAUUAGCUAGUAGGUGAGGUAACGGCUCACCUAGGCGACGAUACAUAGCCGACCUGAGAGGGUGAUCGGCCACACUGGGACUGAGACACGGCCCAGACUCCUACGGGAGGCAGCAGUAGGGAAUCUUCGGCAAUGGACGAAAGUCUGACCGAGCAACGCCGCGUGAGUGAAGAAGGUUUUCGGAUCGUAAAGCUCUGUUGUAAGAGAAGGACGGGUGUGAGAGUGGAAAGUUCACACUGUGACGGUAUCUUACCAGAAAGGGACGGCUAACUACGUG